GUGGGGAAUAUUGGACAAUGGGGGGAACCCUGAUCCAGCCAUGCCGCGUGUGUGAAGAAGGCCUUUUGGUUGUAAAGCACUUUAAGCGAGGAGGAGGCUACCGAGAUUAAUACUCUUGGAUAGUGGACGUUACUCGCAGAAUAAGCACCGGCUAACUCUGUGCCAGCAGCCGCGGUAAUACAGAGGGUGCAAGCGUUAAUCGGAUUUACUGGGCGUAAAGCGCGCGUAGGUGGCCAAUUAAGUCAAAUGUGAAAUCCCCGAGAUUAACUUGGGAAUUGCAUUCGAUACUGGUUGGCUAGAGUAUGGGAGAGGAUGGUAGAAUUCCAGGUGUAGCGGUGAAAUGCGUAGAGAUCUGGAGGAAUACCGAUGGCGAAGGCAGCCAUCUGGCCUAAUACUGACACUGAGGUGCGAAAGCAUGGGGAGCAAACAGGAUUAGAUACCCGAGUAGUCC
rnacentral:rRNA from 1 species